GUCCACGCUGUAAACGAUGAGAACUAGAUGUUGGUAGGGGAACCUAUCAGUAUCGAAGCUAACGCGAUAAGUUCUCCGCCUGGGAAGUACGGCCGCAAGGUUGAAACUCAAAGGAAUUGACGGGGGCCCCGCACAAGCGGUGGAGCAUGUGGUUUAAUUCGAUGCAACGCGAAGAACCUUACCUACCCUUGACAUCCUGCGAAUCUGGCUGAGAGGCUGGAGUGCCGAACGGAACGCAGAGACAGGUGCUGCAUGGCUGUCGU
rnacentral:rRNA from 1 species